GCAGGGAGCCCCAGUCAGCGGGUCAUGGCCUUCAAAGCAACCAGAACUCUGUCAAUACUGGAAUGACUUUCCAGGGCAGGGGUAUCAUCUCCACCCUUUUGCUAUUUCAUUCAGGCCCAAAGGAGUCUCCUUUGAUAACCACAUGCCUGCAGAUGGUACUGUUCUGAGAAGAUCAUCAGCCUUAUCUGAGGACCUGCACUCUGGUCCUCAUACAGGUAACACCUGUACUCUGUCUCUGUGACUAGGCAGGGGUUUUAACAUCUUCAUCCUGGAAAAUUGGAGUCCUUCCCAUGGAAUGUGUGUGUUGAGCUUAGCAGAGACAGCCCUUUCCACUCUGGAGGUAAGACUGGGAAAAUUUGAGUCCAGAGCCCUCUGCUGCCUCUGGGCCCACUGCCUGUCCAAACACACCUGCAGGAGGAAAGAAGGACCUUGUUACAAACAAGAGAAGAAGAGGAGAUCAAAGCAGCUGCAUCAUCUCAUUAACCUUCACCCCCAGAGAAGAUGGCAAGUCGUCCUAAGUUGCUUCAGUCAUGUCCAACUCUUUGCAAACCUGUGGAAUGCAGCCCUCUGUCGGUGGGAUUCUCCAGGCAAGAAUACUGCAGUGAGCGGUCAUCUCCUUCUGCAGGGGAUCUUCCAGACCCAGGGAGUGAACCCGCAUCUCUUAUGUCUCCUCCACUGGCAGGCAAUUUACCUCUAACACCACCUGGGAAACCCCAAUUUUGCAACAGUUGAUAUAAAAAAUUGCAAUUGAAUUUGAAAUCCAGUUGCAUUAUCAAGGCAUUUUAAUUUUUUUUAGAAAGAACCCCCUUUUAUAAUGUGAACACUUUUUUAAAGUCUUUAUUAGAUUUGUUACAGUAUUGCUUCAUUCUGCUAUGUUUGUUUGUUUGGUUUGGCUGCGAGGCAUGUGGGAUCUUAGUUCCCCAACCAGGGAUGAAACCUGCAUGCCCUGCCUUGGAAGGCAAAGUCUUAGCCACUGGGCUGCCAGGGAAGUGCCAUUAUCAAGGGAUUUUUCAACCUAACAUUUGUCAGUGAAAGAAAAAAAAAGCUAUUUGAUUCUUCAAGUAUCCUGCGUGAAUUGUUAUUAUGUAUUUUAAAAUUUUAUUCCCAACCUUGAGAGUAAUGGCUUUUGUCCAUGAUGGCUAUCAAAAUGUAAAGAGAUCAUCAUUUAAAAUCUUGAUCACAAUUGCAUGUAACUAUUUCAUGCAGAAAACUUGAUUUUUUUUAGAAAAGUAUGUUUAAGGAGGAAAUCUCAAGUUUCUCUUUUAAAAAUGUGAAAAGAUUGUAUGUGGAAGUGUUACACUUUUUCCUAAAAUG
ensembl:lncRNA